UGAACCCAGUGUUACAGCACAACCACAACCACAGUGUUACAGCUUGGUUCUGAUGCUUGUGUAGACAUGUGAUCCCAGUAACCGAUGAUAUGCUCAGGAUAGACGGUUGGAUGAAGUCAUAUCAGAUGGGAGAAGGAAGGUGUCGGGAAGCCGAUGGCCCAUCAAUUGUCAGUCAAAGGUUCCAUACAUGGCUUUUUAUGAUGUUCCCUGAACCAUAUACCUAUGCUAUAUGGAUCCUGGUUCUGCCGACUGGUUGAUGAGUAGGACAUGGGUUCAACUCUGGAACUAUCUCCAUCUCAAACUUUUGUUGAUGUUGCGAGGGAGGGACAGCUGGGGAAUUCUGAUGAGCCGCGCAGACGGCCCGCUCCGGUCUGCUUGCCAACACAAUAACAUCACGCUGCUACAGGAAUACUCAAAAGGAAAUGCUCCGAUGACCCGGCUCGCCGCUCAUGUGUGCUGCAUGACCCUUGCAGGCUGAGGACGGAGCUGCUGGAAGCAAGCAGAGUGACUUUUGGAAUCACGUCUCAUAGCCCUCAUCUGGAUGAUCAAUAUCUGAUGCAGUUCUUUGAGGAAACAAACCCUCCGUCUUUUCCCUCUUUGAAUUAAAAAUCCAAUCAAUGUACUAAAGGGCCACAUGAAGGCGCAAUGUCUAAGAAGCGGGACGGAAAAAAGUAACCAGGACGAACCAACCAUUAAAGAUUCAAUGGAA